CUCCUCCCUCAGCCUCCUGAAUACUUGAGAUUACAGGUCCUUGCCACCACGCUCAAGUAAUUUUUUUGUAUUUUUGGAAGAGACUGGGUUUCAUCGUGUUGGCCAGACUGCUUUCGAACUGCUGACAUCAGGUGAUCCGCCUACCUCAGUCUCCCAAAAUGCGGGGAUUACAGGAGUAAGCCACCACACCCAGCCUUAACGAAAUGAUCUGGUUCUGUCUCUCAGGCUGGAGUGCAGUGGUACAAUCGUAGCUUACUGGAGCCUACCACGACUAGUCUUUUUGCAAAGUGACUGGAUAUUCUCAUAAAAUCUAUGUCGAUCCUGAGAGAGAAAUUUAUAAAAAAUCAGGAAUGAAAAGAGGUGAAGAAAUUGCCUCCUCAGGACAGAUCCCCCACGUAAAGUCAAAUCUAUUCUCAGGAAGCCUUCAGAGCCUAUGGUGGGCAGUGACCAGCCCUCUCUUUGAUUUUCAAGGAGACCCAGCUCAGCAAGGUGGAACCCUCAUUUUUAAGUCCAGGUAACAGUAUCCAUUUUAUACACUGCAAUAGGAAUAGAUUGGAUCACAAACCUAUCAACUCUGUUUUACAGCUUGUAGGAGUUCAGCAUGUGAACUUUACAAACAGGCCUUCAGUCAUCCAUGUGUGAUUUAAAAUGGAAUCAGUCAGUUUCAGCUGGACCUUUUGGAAUGUGACCUUCAAUGCUUGAGUGUAAUAUCCUUAUGCAGUGUCUAACCUGCUUUCCCUUCCCAGCCUUUGAGGACUUAGGGAAGCAUAAUGAGGCCCUGAACUAGUGAAGUGCAUGAUCAAGAAGAAUCAGUUGUGAAAAAUGUGAUACAUACUUCCAUUCUGUAUAAAAUUUUACACAAAAUAACAAAAAUGAGUCUGGGCAUGGUGGCUCAUGCCUAUAAUCCCAGCACUUUGGGAGGCUGAGGCGGAUGAGAUCAAGAGAUCAAGACCAUCCUGGUCAACAAGGUGAAACCACGUCUUUACUAAAAAUACAAAAAUUAGCUGGGCAUGGUGGUGCAUGCCUGUAGUCCCAGCUACUCGGGAGGCUGAGGCAGGAGAAUUGCUUGAACCCAGAAGGCGGAGGUUGCAGUGAGCCAAGAUCAUACCAUUGCACUCCAGU